UUUUCUAGGUGUCAGACAAUCCUGGAUCCAAGAAUCUCCAAUCACGUUUCUCUGAAACUCUGGUUUCCCUGAAACUUUUAGUUACACUGUGAAGUUACUGGAUACAUGUUCUGUUCAAGUAACUGUACAUAAACUUGACAUGGAGAUAAGCUGAGACCUCAUGGCAGAAAUCUCAUUUGAAACAACUGGAAAUUACUUCAGCUUGGCUCAAGCCACAGCACAACAGAUACCUUCUCCUCCUCCAGCCCUGCUGUGAGUCAAAGGCAUUUUCUGGGCUGCCACUUUCCUGUGCUGAAUGACCUUGAGCCUCUUCAUGUUGCCCCGUCUUUGCUUGGCUCAGCAUGUGCAUCCCUUGCUCUUUAUAAAUACGCCUGCGUGCUCGCCUUUGCUGACUUCCUUCUUCUCCACAGCUGAAGGGAAACUUCCUGCUGAGACUUCACUUAGACCAACUGAUAUCUUCUCCCUGCCUGGAGAAAACCUUUGUCCUCCAGACUGAAGACAGGCACUUAAAAGUAAACCUGUUUGGUCUGCCCCUAUUAACCAGCAGUGCUGACAGAGAAAAUUGCUUUUCCCCUGUGUUCAGCACUUGAGAACCAUAGGAUUGAGACUGUUUUUUCAGACUGCUUUAUUUUUCGGCAUCAUCCAAUGGGACAGGCUGAGUCACUACUUGAUUCUCAUUUCUCUUCAUGUGAAGGUUUCAGCUCCCUUGGAUUGCCAUGAAUCCCAAGCAAUGAUCCUGGUUUUGUCCUGACAGCACUCCCCAUGUUUCCAUUGGACUUCAUGGACUGACAGUCAGAGAGACUUUUCCCCUGGCUCUGAGCUCCUCUCUCUGCUCGGGAUGAUGGGGGAAGGCUGCCCACAUGGCACCACCUGGGAGAUUUUAUAUUACUUUUUGUGCUGCUCUUCUCUCAACAGGGCAAGCCCUUGGGGCAGAUAAGGAUGUAUUAAGUGACUGAAAGACAUGCAAUUGUCUCCCAAAAGGUGUCACUUCAGUAUUGCUGCAGAUGAGAGGAAACUUUCUAUUUCUGUCCUUAGUCUGAAAUAAUUUUCAUUGGGAUUGCUGAAGGUCCUUCUUUGCUGAAUGGGACCUCUGUGUAAUGCUAAAAUAAAUAUUCUGUUUAAUGUUCUGUUUCCCA
rnacentral:lncRNA from 1 species